GCAUGGGGUGGUGGGUGCAGGGCAGAUGCAGGCCCGGCCGCCCCAGCCUUGUCCCCCUACUGUCUCUGUAGUGGGUCACACUGUGGGUCACCCUCCUCCAAGGGCCCCACGUCUCGGGCAGACAGAGCAGGGGGUGAGGGGCCCCGGGGGCCGAGCCAGCUCUGACCUCCUCUGAGCACCUGCCUGCAGCCAGCCCCUCUGCCUGCCAACCACCGGCCCUCAGCAGUCCCUAUAUCCUCAAAUCCGCCCCAUCCCCCACUUGGCUAUACUGGAAGUGGGCACGCUUCUGUUACCCAAAUCCCAUCCUUCCAGCCUGAUAGGAAGGAACGCCCUGGCAGUGCUGUCUGGUCCUAGCCACAGUGACCCAGAGGCCAGGUGUCGGGGGCUGGGGCCGGUGAGGGCUCUGAGGGGCCGCCCAGUGCUCAGGAGCCAGGGCUCUGCUGCUACUGGGGCCUGAGUGGGGCUGCAGCCCCAGCCUUGGCACCUGGAACAAGGGACAGCCACACAUGUGCCUGUCUGAGUCUGGGGCAGGGCUUAUGCAGGCCGGGCCCGGCCCUUGGCGGGUGUUCAGGGCCUGAUACUACCACCCUUAGGAGUGGGGCAGGCACCGGGCAGGUUUGUGAGAACUGCACCCACAUUUCCGCCACAGCUGGAAGAGGACGUGCCAACCGGAGUCCCACCAGGGGCGGGGAUGGAGCCCUGGACACUGCGGAGGCUGAGCCUCAGUAUUCCCCAUGCCCCAGAGCUGUGCUGUCCCCCAGGCUGGGAGCUGGGGCAGAAGUCAACUCCAGCCUACAUGGGCCCAGCAGCUACCUCCAGAUGCCCCAAAACAGGUGCAAAGGGAUACCCAGCUGCUCAUGAAAAUGAAUCCCAGAUGGAGACAAAGAGCCCUGCCUGGCCCUGGCCUGGCGUGGCCGGAUGUCCCUUUCCACCUUCCUGCUCACAGAGGAGGCUGGGCUUCUGAGGCCUGAGGGGCCAGGCAGGAAGCCAUGGGCCACAAGGCACCCCUGGGCCCCCGCUCCCCGACUUCCUGCAUGGUAGAAGGCCCGUCCCGGGGCCAACUGCCUCUGCCACCACUGCCUGGAUGAGUGAGGGCAGGAGGUGGAAGGGUGAGGUGGGGCCCUGACCCUCGGGAAGAGGGGUCCUGGACUCAGUUUCCCUCCCUGUCCUGAGGCUGCUGCCUUCUAGCCAGAUCCUGGUUUCCAGGGGCCCUGUCCUGCCCAGCAGUUCCCACAGUGCUGGCUGGUUCUCAAAGGGAGACCCCAGGAGACCCCCCCCCAGGAGACACCUGGGCAGGGCAGGGGCAGCUCUGGGGGGGGGCAGCCAUAUGGUGACCCCUCCACUGCCCACAGCCACACAGCCCCUCCCCGUAACCUUCUCUGCAUUUGCUAAUGUUUUGUGACAUGAAGCCCUGAGAUUAAUUUUUUGCCUGUCUUAAUUGAAGGAACCAUUUAGUGCCGAUUUAACUAUUAUUACCAAAUCAUCAGGAUUGAUGCAGUGCGCACACGCACGCGCCAAUCGUGUUUGGAGGAGCUCGGAGGAUUUAUGCAAAUGGGCCUGCCGGGAGAGGCAAUUUGUAGCCGAGAAGGACAAUUAUACCAGGCCCGGGAGUGCGCCAACGACUGCGCCGGGCGGGUAAUGGAUAAUAACAUCGCGCCGGCAGCCGUGAGCAGCUCCACAGCGUGACCAACGACUUUAUACAGUGCAGAUAAAGAGGCCUGCACGCAACACCGCCUCACACUCCAGGGGGGCCGGGCGGGGACGAUGCCACAGCCAGGUGUGCAGAGCCGGCGUGGCUGGGCCUGGGGGCCGUGACUUCCAGAGGGGGACCCGGGCCAGGGUGGUGCUGGGAGCUGCCAGAAGGGCAAAGCCUGUCUGGAGCAGGGCUCUGUCUGCUGGUCACUCUCGAUGGUCUAGGAAGGGCAGGGCCAGGCCUUCAGAGUAGGUGUGAAGGGGCACCAGCAGCCUGGAAGCCUCAGGGGAGCCUGGACCCUGCUCCCCAGCCUCGAGGGCCCAGGGCCGGCCACACGCGCCCUGCCAUGCCAGUGCCCAGG
rnacentral:lncRNA from 1 species